GUUAUAUGGUCAAGCGACCAAGCGUAUACGGUGGAUGCCUUGGCAGUCAGAGGCGAUGAAGGACGUGGCAGCCUGCGAAAAGUGUCGGGGAGCUGGCAACAAGCUUUGAUCCGGCAAUGUCCGAAUGGGGAAACCCACUCCGCAAGGAGUACUGCAUGGUGAAUACAUAGCCAUGCAGGGCGAACCCGGGGAACUGAAAUAUCUAAGUACCCGGAGGAAAAGAAAUCAACCGAGAUUCCGUCAGUAGCGACGAGCGAACGCGGACUAGCCCAAAAGCAUCUAGUGUUUUAGCCGAACGGUUUGGAAAGGCCGGCCAUAGCGGGUGAUAGCCCCGUAGGCGAAAGGGCAUUAGAUGUGAAAUUGAGUAAGGCGGGGCACGAGAAACCCUGUCUGAACAUGGGGGGACCAUCCUCCAAGGCUAAAUACUCCUGACUGACCGAUAGCGAACUAGUACCGUGAGGGAAAGGCGAAAAGAACCCCGGAGAGGGGAGUGAAAUAGACCCUGAAACCGUAUACGUACAAGCAGUGGAAGCCCGCAAGGGUGACUGCGUACCUUUUGUAUAAUGGGUCAGCGACUUACUGUCAGUGGCAAGCUUAACCGUAUAGGGGAGGCGAAGGGAAACCGAGUCUGAAUAGGGCGCAUAGUCUCUGGCAGUAGACCCGAAACCGAGUGAUCUAUCCUUGGCCAGGUUGAAGGUGCGGUAACACGCACUGGAGGACCGAACCCACAUCUGUUGCAAUAGAUGGGGAUGAGCUGAGGAUAGGAGUGAAAGGCUAAACAAACUCGGAGAUAGCUGGUUCUCCUCGAAAGCUAUUUAGGUAGCGCCUCGUAUGAAUCUUCCUGGGGGUAGAGCACUGUUAUGGCUAGCGGGCCAUCGCGGCUUAGUAAACCAUGGCAAACUCCGAAUACCAGGACAGAAUGUACGGGAGACACACGGCGGGUGCUAACGUCCGUCGUGAAAAGGGAAACAACCCAGACCCGCAGCUAAGGUCCCAAAGUUAUAGCUAAGUGGAAAACGAUGUGGAAAGGCAUAGACAGCCAGGAGGUUGGCUUAGAAGCAGCCACCCUUUAAAGAAAGCGUAAUAGCUCACUGGUCGAGUCGGUCUGCGCGGAAGAUUUAACGGGGCUAAGCUAUACACCGAAGCUCGGGGUGCACACGCAAGUGUGCGCGGUAGAGGAGCGUUCCGUAAGCCUGUGAAGGUGAGUUGAGAAGCUUGCUGGAGGUAUCGGAAGUGCGAAUGCUGACAUGAGUAACGAUAAUGGGGGUGAAAAGCCCCCACGCCGAAAGCCCAAGGUUUCCUCGCGCAACGUUCAUCGGCGCAGGGUGAGUCGGCCCCUAAGGCGAGGCAGAAAUGCGUAGUCGAUGGGAAGCUGGUUAAUAUUCCAGCACUUGUCUGUAGUGCGAUGUGGGGACGGAGAAGGUUAGGUCUACCGGGCGUUGGUUGUCCCGGGGAAAGGCGGUAGGCAUGAGGGUUAGGCAAAUCCGGCCCUCUUUAUGCCGAGCACCGAGACGAGCCCUUUUGGGCGAAGUGACUGAUACCACGCUUCCAGGAAAAGCCACUAAGCUUCAGCUACAGAGAAACCGUACCGUAAACCGACACUGGUAGGCAGGGUGAGAAUCCCAAGGCGCUUGAGAGAACUCGGGUGAAGGAACUAGGCAAAAUGGCACCGUAACUUCGGGAGAAGGUGCGCCCUUUUUGGUGGUCACGUGCGUGACUGAGCUGAGAAGGGUCGCAGUAACCUGGCCGCUGCGACUGUUUAUCAAAAACACAGCACUCUGCAAACACGAAAGUGGACGUAUAGGGUGUGACGCCUGCCCGGUGCUGGAAGGUUAAUUGAUGGGGUCAGCCGCAAGGCGAAGCUCUUGAUCGNUUAUGCCGAGCACCGAGACGAGUCCUUUUGGACGAAGUGACUGAUACUACGCUUCCAGGAAAAGCCACUAAGCUUCAGCUACAGAGAAACCGUACCGUAAACCGACACUGGUAGGCAGGGUGAGAAUCCCAAGGCGCUUGAGAGAACUCGGGUGAAGGAACUAGGCAAAAUGGCACCGUAACUUCGGGAGAAGGUGCGCCCUCCGAUGUGGUGACGUGCGUCACUGAGCAUUAGAGGGUCGCAGUAACCUGGCCGCUGCGACUGUUUAUCAAAAACACAGCACUCUGCAAACACGAAAGUGGACGUAUAGGGUGUGACGCCUGCCCGGUGCUGGAAGGUUAAUUGAUGGGGUCAGCCGCAAGGCGAAGCUCUUGAUCGAAGCCCCAGUAAACGGCGGCCGUAACUAUAACGGUCCUAAGGUAGCGAAAUUCCUUGUCGGGUAAGUUCCGACCUGCACGAAUGGCGUAACGACAGCGGCGCUGUCUCCACCCGAGACUCAGUGAAAUUGAAAUCGCUGUGAAGAUGCAGCGUUCCCGCGGCAAGACGGAAAGACCCCGUGAACCUUUACUACAGCUUCACACUGAACGUUGAGUUCUUCUGUGUAGGAUAGGUGGGAGGCUAUGAAACCGAGACGCUAGUUUCGGUGGAGCCAUCCUUGAAAUACCACCCUGAAGUGCUUGACGUUCUAACCUAGGUCCGUAAUCCGGAUCAGGGACCGUGUGUGGUGGGUAGUUUGACUGGGGCGGUCUCCUCCCAAAGAGUAACGGAGGAGCACGAAGGUACGCUCAGCGCGGUCGGACAUCGCGCACUGUGUGCAAAGGCAUAAGCGUGCUUGACUGCGAGAUCGACGGAUCAAGCAGGUACGAAAGUAGGUCUUAGUGAUCCGGUGGUUCUGUAUGGAAGGGCCAUCGCUCAACGGAUAAAAGGUACUCCGGGGAUAACAGGCUGAUACCGCCCAAGAGUUCAUAUCGACGGCGGUGUUUGGCACCUCGAUGUCGGCUCAUCACAUCCUGGGGCUGUAGCCGGUCCCAAGGGUAUGGCUGUUCGCCAUUUAAAGUGGUACGCGAGCUGGGUUCAGAACGUCGUGAGACAGUUCGGUCCCUAUCUGUCGUGGGCGUUGGAGAUUUGAGGGGGGCUGCUCCUAGUACGAGAGGACCGGAGUGGACGUUCCGCUGGUGUUCGGGUUGUCAUGCCCAUGGCAUUGCCCGGUAGCUACGAACGGAAGUGAUAACCGCUGAAAGCAUCUAAGCGGGAAGCACGCCCCAAGAUGAGAUCUCCCGAGACUUCGAGUCUCCUUAAGGCACCAUCAAGACUAGGUGGUUGAUAGGCGCGGUGUGGAAGUGCAGCAAUGCAUUGAGCUUACGCGUACUAAUGAGCCGUGCGGCUUGACCAUAUAACCCCAAG
rnacentral:rRNA from 1 species